UCGGGUGGGAUUCGAACCCACGACCCUUGCAAUUCUAGAGCAGUGCCAACUUCAAUGAAGUUAUGACCAGAUAUAAAUUUGUACCUUUUCUUUUACUUAACAUUAGUUGGACUUUUUCCUAAUCAAGUUUACAGUGUCAUCUAUACCCCUGAGUUUAUCUAUAUCAAAUGCGUUGGUAAAGAAUUGGAAAAUAACCCUUUUUUUCAUCCAUUCAGUUGUAGAUACAGAGGUGGCUGAUCAGCUGUGGGGAGUGUACAACUUGGCUUUGGUAUUCUGUUGAUUCUUCAACCUCCUUUAACACCUGGAGUAAAUUGGUCUGGAAGUGACUGCAAGCUGAAGGGACAGGUCAACCUGAUAACUGGCGUUUCAGCUCACACCAAGGAAGCAAAAUGCAAGGUCAAAAACUGACAUCUUUGGAGUUACAAGUUAAAAUAGUUGAAAUGCCACUGAAAUUGGAUCAUUAUCAGAGCUAAAGUACAUCCUGGUUGUUGAGCGACUGCAAGUAUUCAGUCCAUCUGGAUGCUCUAACAUGGUGGAGGGGAAACUGUAGUGUGGAGUACAUGCUCCUUGAAGGCCGAGUAGAGAGUCAUAGUACAGUUUUAAGGCAAACCUGACCAGAGAAACAUUCAGAGAUGGUCACGAGAGGGCAACAUAUUGUACCUAGCAUAAGUGGUGGAUCACGCUGUAACAUUGCUGGACACUUUGAGAGCUGAAGAUAGUCCCUUGAGAAAGUUUUGGGGCAAUCCUGACUGGAGGAACAUUCAUUGGAUGCCAUCAGAUAGGGCCAUGGUACUCAGCAUAGGAAGUGGAUCACCGCUGAUUAAGAACAUGGCUGGACACUUUGAGAGCUGAAGAGAGUCCCUUGAGAAAGUUUUGGGGCAAUCGUGACUGGAGGAACAUUCAUUGGAUGCCAUCAGAUAGGGCCAUUGUACUCAGCAUAGGCUGAUUCAGAAUAUUGCUGGGCACUUGCAGAGCUUUUAAAGAAUCCCUUGAGAAAGUUUUCAAGCAAAGGUCAGAUGGAAGCAACCCAUUAAGGAGGAACAUGGUACGCAGCUGCUGAUGGAACAUUGUCGACUGUGCUGAUACCACAACAAGUGGGACUCUCAAGUUAACUUCAGGGUUCUAGAAAUGGACAUGGGAGAUAGAGGACGUAGAGCACACAAAUAUGUAGAUGUAGUCCUUGAUGGCAUGUACAGGUAGGGCUUAACAAUUUAGAACAAAAGUUUCAGAGUUUGUUGAAAGAUGUUGAAAAACUAUUCAUACAAAAGAAACUUCAGAUUCUCGAUCAUACAUGUUGUAUAGAUUCAGCCUACCUUGCUACAAGCUGAACUAAGAUGUGGCUUUUGUUGAUGUAAUGUCUACUCAUGCCAGCACGGUGAUUUAAAAGUUGCGCAUAAAAUAGUAAAACUUCUUAAGGGUCUUGUAAUGCGAGUGCAGGGCAGUGAUUGGAGCUCUCUUGUUUUAGCAUAGUGAAGUGUGACUCCAGGUAUUUAAACACUAGUUGUUGCAGUACUGUACAGGUUUAUGUGGUAUAAGCACCGAUCCAAUUUCAAUGGGUUUCUGAAUUGACUGUUUAGAGCAUUAGAGAGUGUCGGAUAUUCACAAGGAGUUUGCAGCUCAUCAUACAACCAUCAACGUCGAUGCCUCAACCUUUUUGUACAGUUUGUAAUUAGUUGUAGAUUACAGGUAUAGAUUUUACGUUGUUAAUUGUGUGGUGAAUUGUUCACACUUUCCCUUUUUGAGAAUUGAUCACACUUGCCCCUGUGAAAUUCUGCACUUCCCCUGUGUUGUGAAUUUCUUGCACAUCCAAUUUGUGUUGUGAGUUUCUCCCACUUCCACUAUGAGUGGCUCAUACUUUUACUUUGUGUCGUGAAUUAUCAAGUUUAUAAACUGAAACGUUGUAUAGGGCUGAGUUGGAAGAAUGUUUCGCUAUUGUAGCACAUUCGUUAAGCUAACUAAAUUUAGAUGUAUGCUGAUGUAUGGAGUUGACAAACUUGGUUGCCAUAUAGUGGAGCCGGUAUGGGAACUUUUCCCCACGGGGGUUUUUGCCCAUCUCAUAUAUCAGCAAUUAGCAGGCAUGCAAUAUCUUAUUCAUAUGGUUUUGGUUUUCACAGCCAUAACAUUUUUUCAAAACACAGCACAAAGUCUUGCUGUGCCUGGUCUUCUGGAAAUGUUGAUUCUUUUAUACAAAAUACAGUACGGACAAAUUUCCCCUGUGUUUCUCUGAGUUGCUCACACUUCCUUUGUGUGUUGAGUAUACAGACACUUUCCCCAGUGUUUCUCU